CCUACAGGGGGCAGCAGUGGGGAAUAUUGGACAAUGGGGGCAACCCUGAUCCAGCCAUGCCGCGUGUGUGAAGAAGGCCCUCGGGUUGUAAAGCACUUUCAGUGAGGAAGAACGCCUGGUGGUUAAUACCCAUCAGGAAAGACAUCACUCACAGAAGAAGCACCGGCUAACUCCGUGCCAGCAGCCGCGGUAAUACGGAGGGUGCGAGCGUUAAUCGGAAUUACUGGGCGUAAAGCGCGCGUAGGUGGCUUGAUAAGCCGGUUGUGAAAGCCCCGGGCUCAACCUGGGAACGGCAUCCGGAACUGUCAAGCUAGAGUGCAGGAGAGGAAGGUAGAAUUCCCGGUGUAGCGGUGAAAUGCGUAGAGAUCGGGAGGAAUACCAGUGGCGAAGGCGGCCUUCUGGACUGACACUGACACUGAGGUGCGAAAGCGUGGGUAGCAAACAGGAUUAGAUACCCCUGUAGUC
rnacentral:rRNA from 1 species